GACCAACGCUGGCGGCGUGCUUAACACAUGCAAGUCGAACGGAAAGGCCCUGCUUUUGUGGGGUGCUCGAGUGGCGAACGGGUGAGUAACACGUGAGUAACCUGCCCUUGACUUUGGGAUAACUUCAGGAAACUGGGGCUAAUACCGGAUAGGAGCUCCUGCUGCAUGGUGGGGGUUGGAAAGUUUCGGCGGUUGGGGAUGGACUCGCGGCUUAUCAGCUUGUUGGUGGGGUAGUGGCUUACCAAGGCUUUGACGGGUAGCCGGCCUGAGAGGGUGACCGGCCACAUUGGGACUGAGAUACGGCCCAGACUCCUACGGGAGGCAGCAGUGGGGAAUAUUGCACAAUGGGCGGAAGCCUGAUGCAGCAACGCCGCGUGCGGGAUGACGGCCUUCGGGUGGUAAACCGCUUUCGCCUGUGACGAAGCGUGAGUGACGGUAAUGGGUAAAGAAGCACCGGCUAACUACGU
rnacentral:rRNA from 1 species